GACUAACGCUGGCGGCGUGCCUAACACAUGCAAGUCGUGCGGUCUGGCUGGAAUGAAGCCUUCGGGCAGAUUUUCGGCUCAGAUAGCGGCGGACGGGUGAGUAACACGUAGGAACCUACCCUCUGGUGGGGGAUAGCAUUCCGAAAGGAAUGGUAAUACCGCAUGGUAUCCCUUCAGGGAUUAAAGGGGCCUUUUGGUCUCGCCAGAGGAUGGGCCUGCGGCCUAUCAGCUAGUUGGUGAGGUAAUGGCUCACCAAGGCAAUGACAGGUAGCCGGCCUGAGAGGGUGGACGGCCACACUGGGAUUGAGAUACGGCCCAGACUCCUACGGGAGGCAGCAGUGGGGAAUCUUGCGCAAUGGGCGAAAGCCUGACGCAGCGACGCCGCGUGGGGGACGAAGGCCUUCGGGUCGUAAACCUCUGUUCUGGGGGAAGAAGUUCUGACGGUACCCCAGAAGAAAGCCCCGGCCAACUACGUGCCAGUAGCCGCGGUAAUACGUAGGGGGCGAGCGUUGUCCGGAACUACUGGGCGUAAAGCGCGUUAAGGCGGUGUGCGCAAGUCAAGUGUGGAAUCUCACAGCUCAACUGUGAAAUUGCACUUGAUACUGCGUCACUGGAGUGUGGGAGAGGAGAGCGGAAUUCCCGGUGUAGCGGUGAAAUGCGUAGAUAUCGGGAAGAACACCGGUGGCGAAGGCGGCUCUCUGGCCCAUCACUGACGCUGUAGCGCGAAAGCUAGGGGAGCGAACCGGAUUAGAUACCCGGGUAGUCCUAGCUGUAAACGAUGGUUACUGGGUGUGGGUGGUUAUUCCAUCCGUGCCGAAGCUAACGUGAUAAGUAACCCGCCUGGGGAGUACGGUCGCAAGACUGAAACUCAAAGGAAUUGACGG
rnacentral:rRNA from 1 species